UCAACAAACUGUCGAUUAUCCGAGUUUCAAGCUCGUGAUUGUUGGAGAUGGAGGCACUGGUAAUUUCCUCACGUUUCCCUCCUUUUCUUUUUUUUUUAAAUUUAAUUUGGUUUUUAUUCUGUAAUUUUCGUUUUGGACUUGUUAAUUGAUGUGUUGAGCUAGGUAUUUAAGUACCAUUAGUCCCUUGACAUUCGUUUUGAAUUAAUAUUUCAGUGAACUUAUUAGUGAUAUGUGUAAAGCUUCUUAUGGUUAAUUCAAACUUUUAUGUUAAUUGAAAAUUUUAUUGGCUAGGUGAAAAAUGC
rnacentral:misc_RNA from 1 species